GGGAGGAUUUACCUGGGGGGGAGGCUUUUAUUGAAGAAGGGAGAUUGUUUUAUACAUGGGGGGGGUCGGUUUGGGGCAAAAAAUGUUGGUUUCAGUGGGGAAACCUCAUAAUUCCCCCCCUCCCACCCCCCCCUUUCUCCAUGGGGCGCGCGUUUGUUUAUAAUAAAGUGACUGUGGGGCUCCGCCCCUUAUGCAAAUGUUUCACGGAACAGCCAAUGAGCGCUCGCGGUUCUCUAUAUCUCCGCCCGUCAUGCAAAUGAGAGCGCUGCGACGCCGCGGCACCGCCCACUUCUCGGCUUCUAUGUAAAUGAGCGCCGCGGUGCACUCUGGGAUCCCAUUUUGGGGCAAUUUGGGGGGGGGCUUUUUCCCACAAUCCGGGGCUCCUUCGGGGAUGAGGUGAGGGCGGGCAUCGCGGGGGGUCACCGACGUUUGGACAGAACCAGGAACGGCUUCGGGAGCGGCUCGCUGUGCCCUAUACAGGUGUAGCUUUGCGUGAGGACCCCCCCGCGGACAAGGGCCCGGCAUCGUCAGUGCGGUACAUCCUGACCUGCCCCCGCAGUGCGGGCAGUACGUGAUGAGCGGAGCGUGAUGACGUGUGAUUACACUCACGUGACGCGGGCCGGCAACACCCGCGGGCACCUCUCUGAUGACGUCAGCGCUGCGGGGUAGGCAGGAAGGGGAGAUUAUUGUGGACAACUAUGGUGACGCCUUGCUCUUGGUUGAGAACUACGGGAGAACCCGGAAGUAGGUUGUGUGUUUAUAGGAGGGCCAUCCAUCAUUUCCGCUUCCGGUUUAAUGCUGCGCAUGCUCCUGACGCCUCCUGGAGCUUGUUCUAUUGUGAGCGGUGGAUUCCGCCUGAGCAGGUCCUAGCACUGAGCAUGCGCUGUGCCCCCAUGUGGACGUAUCUCCAUUUCUCAUUGGCUGAUUCGCUCCCUGAGCGCAGCCACUGAUUGGCUCAGUCCGACGUCACUAAGUGAAGAGCUAGAGUCUGUUAUUUUUCACCCAUCAGCGCCGAGAUCCCGUCCCCGAAGUCAUGUAACAAGCUACCAGCCAAUGAGAAGCGAGCAUCUGCCCGGAAGUCGUGUAGCCAGCCAAUAACAGUGCGCGGCUUCCAAUGAAUGCCCUCCCUCCC